rnacentral:lncRNA from 1 species
AAAAACUGUGUGAUUCGUAAGUAAGGAUUGAUUGCAUCUGGAUAAGUGGGUUUCCCUUUAAACUUUCCGUAGUGAACAUAUAUCGGAUAUACUCGGUCAAUCGGUAGAUUUGAUAUCUUUGAACCGUCGAGCUUUGGUGUAUACCUAGACAACAUAAGUCACACAAUCAACCCUUGAACUAUUUUUGGUUCUCAUUGUUUUGUUCGUUUCAGC